CCGCCACACUGCUGCGAAGACGCUCACAAUUGCGUCAAGAGGCCACCACUAAGCGAUGUCACUCUGAGUAGUAGUACCACUGCAAAGACGCUACUACAGCGUGUCACUCUGAAGCAACCAGCCCCGCUACACGAUACCGAGACGUCGAAUUACUAGUGUAGCCACACAAAAGGGCUACAUCGCACGGGGUCACCAGAUUUGUAGUUUGUGGUUGAGUAACAACGAUAGAUCUAAUGGUUGAGCGCCGAUGAUGUCUGUAGUUUGUGGUUUUCGACGAUGAGCGCUGCUGUUAGUCGAGCUGCAAUUUUUCCCAGCGUACUAUUCAGAUAUUAUUGUGCAGGUUGUGUUGGUGCAAAUGGAUAUGUUGUGGAGUUUUUUGGUGUGUGUUUGAAUAGCUAUUGUAAUUUUUGGGGUUGUGCAGGUGGUUUUGGCGAUGAUGGUGGAUUUUGGCACUGGUGAAGUAGUAUGGUGUUAGAUGUGGCGCUACUGGUGCUGGUCGCAAACGGUUGUAGUGCAGGUUGCGUUACUGGCAGUUGCGAUGGCGAUGGAGUCGUGGCCAUGACGAUCGAGUGGGAUGAAGAG
rnacentral:lncRNA from 1 species